rnacentral:tRNA from 1 species
GGGGAAUUAGCUCAAUAGUAGAGCACAUGCUUAGCAUGUAUGACAUCCUGGGUUUGGUCCCUAGCCCUCCCCA